GACGAACGCUGGCGGCAUGCCUAAUACAUGCAAGUUGAACGAUGAUAUUCUCUGCUUGCAGAGAAUUGAAGAGUAGCGAACGGGUGAGUAACACGUGGGGAACCUGCCCAUGAGAGGGGGAUAACAUUCGGAAACGGAUGCUAAUACCGCAUAAUGCUUUGGACCGCCUGGUCCAGAGACGAAAGACGGCUUUUGCUGUCACUCAUGGAUGGCCCCGCGCCGUAUUAGCUAGUUGGUGAGGUAAUGGCUCACCAAAGCUGUGAUACGUAGCCGACCUGAGAGGGUGAUCGGCCACACUGGGACUGAGACACGGCCCAGACUCCUACGGGAGGCAGCAGUAGGGAAUCUUCCACAGUGGGCGAAAGCCUGAUGGAGCAAUGCCGCGUGAAUGAAGAAGGUCUUCGGAUCGUAAAGUUCUGUUAUUAGAGAAGAACAAGUCAAGGAGUAACUGUCUUGACUUUGACGGUACCUAACCAGAAAGUCACGGCUAACUACGUG
rnacentral:rRNA from 1 species